UUCAGUAUGUCAACCAGUCCUUUGUAACGACUCAGUAUUCUUUGAGAAUACUCCCUACGUUUUCGGUAUAACGGCUAAAUUACCUGUCGGAAUUAGGUUAGGUAGACUCCAAGCUCACAGCAUGACUGGGAAAGCUGUGAGGUACUCCAUCGUGAGUGGUGACUCAACAUACUUCGACUUGGAUACUACAACCGGCGAAAUCUAUGUUGCUCAAUCCUUAUCAAAAGACGUAGAAUCACUCGAGUUUGAAGCUCAGGCUGCAACUACAAAUGCCCAAGCCAGGGCUCACGUAUCUAUCUAUUGUAUCAAGAUAUAACGAGGAAAUGAAUUGAAUUGAAAUAUACAUGUAGUUUGCUUCUUUACAAUACUGUACAAAAGUAAUAAAUCCUUACUUUUACUUUUUCAUAACAAAUAAAUAAAUAAAUAAGAAAAACAGAUAAAAAAAAAACACCAACAACAGACAACACGAUUCUUUACAAUAGUAUACUUAUAAAAAGUGAUAAAUCCUUACUUUUACUUUUUUUCAUAAAAAAAAAAUAAAAAGAAAAAAAAAAGAAAAAA